rnacentral:rRNA from 1 species
GACGUAGGGCGCGAGCGUUGUCCGGAAUCAUUGGGCGUAAAGCGCGCGUAGGUGGCCUCAUAAGUCCGCUGUGAAAGUCAAAGGCUCAACCUUUGAAAGCCGGUGGAUACUGUGAGGCUAGAGUACGGAAGAGGCGAGUGGAAUUCCUGGUGUAGCGGUGGAAUGCGCAGAUAUCAGGAGGAACACCAAUAGCGAAGGCAGCUCGCUGGGACGUUACUGACACUGAGGCGCGAAAGCGUGGGGAGCGAACAGG